AGGACGAACGCUGGCGGCGUGCUUAACACAUGCAAGUCGAGCGGUAAGGCCUUUCGGGGUACACGAGCGGCGAACGGGUGAGUAACACGUGGGUGAUCUGCCCUGCACUUCGGAUAAGCCUGGGAAACUGGGUCUAAUACCGGAUAUGACCUCCUAUCGCAUGGUGGGUGGUGGAAAGAUUUAUCGGUGCAGGAUGGGCCCGCGGCCUAUCAGCUUGUUGGUGGGGUAAUGGCCUACGAAGGCGACGACGGGUAGCCGACCUGAGAGGGUGACCGGCCACACUGGGACUGAGACACGGCCCAGACUCGUACGGGAGCAGCAGGUGGGACUAUGCACAGUGGGCAAAGCUGAGUGACAGCCGACGCCGACGUGACGGUA
rnacentral:rRNA from 1 species